AUGGCCGAUACAUGUGCCGGUGAGCCCAGCGCCAGCUCUCUGCCCUGGACCGUCCACAGACAUCCUCUCCGAGACCUGCAGGCGACUCGGUGGGCACAGGGGUCCGGGCCUGAUGGCGCCACCCCGUCACAUCCCGCGACUGUCCCCGCAUGGCCCCAGCUCCUGCACUGGGCUUCUGCAGGUCUGUGUGGCUUUGGCCCAACACCGCCUCCCUGGAGAAAGUCUUCAGCUGCGUGUUCCUGUGGCCAGGGCGAAGGAUGCUCCGGGGAGACCAGCCUUCGUGACCCCGCAGGUGCUCGUGUGCUGCCGUGCUGUUGCCCGUGGACACUGUGCUGUGUAGCCCAGCCUCAGAGCAGCCUCGUGUGGCACAGGCGACACUGUGCGCGCCCUGAACAACGUCCCUUCCUCUCCCCCAUCCCAGGUAGUGCUCUUCUACUCCGCUGCUAUGAGCCCAGCUUUCUCAGAUUCCACACGGAAGUGAAAUCACGCGUUGCUUGUUUUUCUGCGUCUGGUUUAUUUCACUUCACAUGAUGUCCUCUCAAGUUCACCCCUGCUGUCUCCUCUUUUCCAAGGCGCUGUGUGUGCAUGCACAAUAUUUUCUUCAUCCUCUCACCGUGGACGGACAUCUAGAUGGCUUGCACACCUUGGCAGUUGUGAGUAAUGCCGCCAUAAACGUGGCGGUGUGCACAUCUUUUCCGAAAUCCUGAUUUUGGAUAUAUACCCGGAAGUGGGAUUUCUGGGUCAUGGGGUAAUUCUAUUUUUUUUUUUUUUAAUUUUUUUUUUUCAAUGUUUAUUUAUUUUUGGGACAGAGAGAGACAGAGCAUGAACGGGGGAGGGGCAGAGAGAGAGGGAGACACAGAAUCGGAAACAGGCUCCAGGCUCUGAGCCGUCAGCCCAGAGCCCGACGCGGGGCUCGAACCCACAGACCGCGAGAUCGUGACCUGGCUGAAGUCGGACGCUCAACCGACUGUGCCACCCAGGCGCCCCGGGUAAUUCUAUUUUUAAUUAAAAAAAUUUUUUUUGAGUUUAUUUAUUUUGAGAGAGAGAAAGAGAGUGCAGGGGAGGGGCAGAGAGAUAGGGAGAGAAUCCCAAGCAGGCUCCGUGCUGUCAGCGUAGAGCCCGACGUGGGGCUCGAACUCACAAACUGUGAGAGCAUGACCUGAGCUGAAAUCAAGAGUUGGACACUUAACCAACUGAGCCCCCCCCCCCAAUGCCCCCUAGUUUUUAAUUUUUUGAGGGACUUACUUUCACACUCUCCCAUUAUGGCUGUGCCAUUUUCCCUUCCUGUCUCCAGUGCCCAAGGGCUCCAACUUCUCUC
rnacentral:lncRNA from 1 species